GUCCUCUACCGUUCCCCGACCCAUCAGUAGAGAAGCUACGCUGCCUCGUCGUUCACGGAUAUCCCGAAAGCCGGAGGAAUAGCUCAAUCCUGUACAGCCAUGGCAGAAAACGCCGGCUUGGAAAACCACCGCAUCAAAAGCUUUAAAAACAAGGGACGUGAUGUCGAGACUAUGAGGAGGCAUCGAAAUGAAGUGACAGUCGAGCUGAGAAAGAACAAACGAGACGAGCAUCUACUGAAGAAGAGGAACGUCCCACUGGAGGAGAAUCUGGAAGACUCUGAUGUCGACUCUGACUUCAAAGCACAAAAUGUCACACUUGAUGUCAUUUUACAGAACGCCACAAGUGACAACGCCGUGGUUCAGCUCAGUGCUGUGCAGGCUGCUAGAAAACUCCUCUCCAGCGACAGAAACCCCCCGAUCGACGACUUGAUAAAGUCUGGUAUUCUGCCCAUCCUAGUCAAAUGUUUGGAGAGGGAUGACAACCCCUCGCUCCAGUUCGAGGCAGCCUGGGCCCUGACCAACAUUGCCUCAGGGACUUCGGCGCAGACUCAGGCUGUGGUUAAAUCCAACGCCGUUCCUUUGUUCCUGCGACUGCUCCACUCCUCCCACCAGAAUGUGUGCGAACAGGCAGUCUGGGCUCUGGGUAACAUCAUCGGUGACGGCCCCCAGUGCAGGGACUACGUCAUCUCCCUGGGCGUGGUCGUCCCCCUGCUCUCAUUCAUCAACCCCUCCAUCCCCAUCAGCUUCCUCCGCAACGUCACCUGGGUCAUCGUCAACCUGUGCCGCAACAAGGACCCGCCGCCCCCUAUGGAGACCGUCCAAGAGGUGGGCACGAUUCUGCCGGCCCUCUGUUUGCUUAUAUACCACAUCGACCUAAAUAUUCUCGUAGACACGGUGUGGGCGUUAUCAUACCUGACCGACGGCGGUAAUGAGCAGAUCCAGAUGGUGAUAGAUUCGGGUGUGGUUCCCUUCCUCGUCCCGCUGCUCAGCCACCAGGAGGUCAAAGUUCAGACAGCCGCCCUGAGGGCCGUGGGGAACAUCGUGACCGGGACAGACGAACAGACGCAGGUGGUGCUCGACUGUGACGUGCUCUCGCACUUCCCCAACCUGCUCACACACCCCAAGGAGAAGAUCAACAAGGAAGCCGUGUGGUUCCUGUCCAACAUCACAGCAGGGAACCAGCAGCAGGUCCAGGCUGUAAUCGAUGCUGGACUCAUCCCCAUGAUCAUCCACCAACUGGCCAAGGGGGACUUUGGCACUCAGAAGGAGGCAGCCUGGGCCAUCAGCAACCUCACCAUCAGCGGGAGGAAAGACCAGUAUGGCUGUCGUGUGUAUGUGUGGGUCCGUGUAGGUGGAGUUCCUGGUGGAGGAGAACGUCAUCCCUCCCUUCUGCAGCCUUCUGUCGGUCAAAGACUCCCAGGUGCUGCAGGUGGUGCUCGACGGCCUGAAAAACGUGCUCAUCAUGGCCGGGGACGAGGCCAGCACCAUCACGGAGAUCAUCGAGGAGUGUGGAGGUCUGGAGAAGAUAGAACAUCUGCAGCAGCAUGAGAAUGAAGACAUCUACAAACUAGCCUUUGAGAUUAUUGACCAGUACUUUGCCGGGGAUGAUAUCGACGAAGAUCCGAGUUUGAUCCCGGAGGCCACACAGGCGGGCUUCAGCUUCGACCCGGCCACCAACAUGCAAACCAAGGAGUUCAACUUCUAGAUACCAGACGGUGGUUGUUUCAGCCAGCUGCACGGGUACUCCCUCAUCACCCCAGACAUUCAUCCAUCUCCUCUCCCACCUGGUACAGAAGGAUUCGACGUGGGGCCGUGAGGAAUCCCACUUUUGAAGGAUUGGCCCCUCCCCAUCUCUGGCACUGAGGGGUGCACUGCUUUGUGGUGUCCUUUUUAUUUAAAGAAACACAUGACAUCUUUCUUCUCUGAGCAUUACGGCCCGGCACACAGGAGUCCUGGUUAUGUGUGAGCAUCGCAACAUACGUCUGGUCAACGGCUUUGGGAGGAUGGCUGGCUUUUCCUCUGCCUGUGCUUCUAAAUAAUCCAUCGGAGCUCGGAAAUCAGAAAGAAGAGAAGUUGAUGUUUUUUGUUUUGUUUUGUUGCCAAAAACCACUGUUUUCACCAAGGCAAACGCGACCACACACACACACACACACACACACACACACACACACACACACACACACACACACACACACACACACACACACACACACACACACACACACACACACACACACACACGGCUAGAAUUUGUGUGCACACUUCUGGUAGAAGCGGAUACAUCACUAUUUUGGGGAAAGAAAUAUUGCUCUUUGUUCGUGUUUUGUUUUUUUGUGUUUUACCUUCCCUGGAUUGUUUUUCGGGUGUUAUGUCACAUGCACACACACCGACACACACAAUCACAGACACGCACUUAGUCACGUAGAAACCCGUUGGCCAGGUACCCCAAUGACCCCCACUCUCCUCCAGAUUAUAGAGCGGACCCCAGAGCUAAGCCAUGAACUACCACAGAGCCCCGCUGGCCCACCAGGUGCAUCCUGGGACAGGUGGGCGGGGCUGCAGCGUUCCUACAGCCUCCAGGAUUCCGUGGCAGGCGGACUUCUGACUCAAUGACGUCACUCCUUUUCGUGUGACCUCUUGUCGAAAAAAUUAUCAUGCUCAAAGACAUUUAAGUUUUGAACAGAAAGAAAAAGAUCAACAAAAAUGUGAAUAGAAACGCCAUAUUGUUCAUUUUAUUUUUUGUUUUUUUAUUUCCAAUUCAAACGCGGUCUGGAGCUCGUGUGCGAGCGGGGACAAGCGUUGGAUUGGGGGGGCCGUGUUGAGGCACGCCGUGUGUGGGGAGCGUCGCUGGGUUGAGCCACAGUGACUUUAAGGAAGAGGGAGCAGGCCUUUGUGCUGGAGGAAUAUGUUCUGCCCGAGGGCCCUCCUGUAUCCAUCCCUCGCUCACCCCGGUGCCCUCUGAGAAAACAAAAAGAAACACGAAAAACACCCCUCAACCUGCUCACCUGAAUCCCCGAAGAUUGUUUAUUUUUUAUUUUACUUAUUUAAAAUUCAAACUUGCCCUUUCAACAUUUGUAUUUACAUUUUUGAGACAAGUUUGGCUUCUUCUAAGGAGCUUCCAGGUUUAGUGUUUUUAUUUUUUGGAACUAUUAAUUUUUCUUCAGUCUUAUGCACAUGUCAGAGGUAUACAGGUGCCCGCUGGCUGCAGGGGCCAGGGGGGCCAGAGGGGCCCGUACUCGGUGGAGACUAAACCUACGCUGGGCAGCACUGUUCCGUCGAGCCCCGCGGUGCCUCACCACUCUUAAAGAGGGGGUCACCUGUCGCCACCGAUCCGAGUAACUGUACAAAAAAGAGAAGAGGAAAAAAAUGUGACGUGUAUCUUUCUUUUGCUGUUUUAACGAGUAUAUAGAUAUAUAUGAAUAUAUAUAUGGAUAUAUUUACCUACAAAGCCUGUGCAAAGCUGCUGCAGCCCUAUUGGAUGGCCUCUGCAGGACCACAACCUUCUUACUGGCAAAGAUGGCUGGAGAGGAAGGUUUCUUCUGUUGUGUCAAAGCAAUAUUUUCUUUUUCUUUCUUUUUUUAAACAUGUGUAUGUAUUGUGAUAACAUGCUGAUGAACAGGCUCUCUUUAUUUGACGUCUACCCUGUGUUCUUUGGUUUGUCUAGCUGCGGCGGCGGGCUGUCUAAGCGCGCCGUCCCAGGGGAUUUCCGGGGGGGUCGUUGGGGGGCUAAUAGGUGUAUAAACUGUGAGCUGCACCCCUAGGGCCCUGGUCUUGAAGACUUUAGAAUCCUCUUGUUUGGCUGCUAACUACUGAGGGGGGUGUUGCACCCCAGGUCGGGGGGGUAGGGGUAGGUGGUUGGGUAGGGUAGUCUGGGUGUUUAAAUAUGGGGAGGUAAUGGGGGAGGGGUGUAAAGAGCAGCCCAGGCUGGUUUUGGGGACUAGCCGUUUAUCACUGAGGAAUAGGGAGGAGGGUGUACAGGCAGGACGCUAGACGACUAGACCGAGCCACUUUAAAGAUUUACAAUUUCAUUACCUUGUGUCGGAAACGGACACAAGCUUAUGUUGGUUGCAAGAUUUUUACUUGCUAAUGAAAAGUUGUUUUAAAUAAGAUGAUCGAAGAAGAGAAAAAAGCAACAGACAGCGUUUUGGCCUCUGCUUGUUUAUAUCUUUUUAUAAAUUUUAGAUUGAAUUAUUCUCUUUAAGGUGGCUCAUUAAUGCUUUCAACUCCUGUGCAUAUUAAAGAUGAGAAUGAGUUGAAAUUCAUUGUGCCUUUUGUUUUUCAUUUCCUCUAAAAAGUGGUUUCUCUUGAAGAUGAAUACAUUCAGGAGCUCUGCGGUGCUUUUAAGAAAUUGGCAAAACGUGCACCUCAGAUGGCAUAUUUGGCGUUGCCAUGGAAUUCUGCAGUGCUGCUCUCUGCUGUGGAGGGUCUUCGUUCUACUGCCGUCUCACUUUAGCAUUGUUGUUCAUUGUGAACCCACAUUUCCUUCCACCCAUUCACUUCACAAGCCAUUAUUGCCAUACUAUUUCAAUCAGCGGGAUUUUGAUAUCAUUUCCUCUCAUCUCGCCCUCAGGACAUGAUCUGUGUUACUGAUCCUAACUGAAAUAAACGUGCUGUUUAGCUGUUGGAUA